rnacentral:rRNA from 1 species
GGCGGUUAUGAAAGACAGGCGUGAAAUCCCCGGGCUUAACCUGGGAACGGCGCUUGUGACUCAUGACUCGAGUACGGCAGAGGGGGGUGGAAUUCACGUGUAGCAGUGAAAUGCGUAGAUAUGCGGAGGAACACCGAUGGCGAAGGCAGCCCCCUGGGCCGAUACUGACGCUCAUGCACGAAAGCGUGGGGAGCAAACAGGAUUAGAUACCCUGGUAGUCCACGCCCUAAACGAUGUCGACUAGUUGUUCGGGAAGGUAACUUUCUGAGUAACGCAGCUAACGCGUGAAGUCGACCGCCUGGGGAGUACGGCCGCAAGGUUAAAACUCAAAGGAAUUGACGGGGACCCGCACAAGCGGUGGAUGAUGUGGAUUAAUUCGAUGCAACGCGAAAAACCUUACCUACCCUUGACAUGCCUGGAAUCCUUGAGAGAUCGAGGAGUGCCUUCGGGAGCCAGGACACAGGUGCUGCACGGCUGUCGUCAGCUCGUGUCGUGAGAUGUUGGGUUAAGUCCCGCAACGAGCGCAACCCUUGUCGUUAAUUGCCAGCAUUGAGUUGGGCACUUUAACGAGACUGCCGGUGACAAACCGGAGGAAGGUGGGGAUGACGUCAAGUCCUCAUGGCCCUUAUGGGUAGGGCUUCACACGUCAUACAAUGGUCGGUACAGAGGGUUGCCAAGCCGCGAGGUGGAGCUAAUCCCAUAAAACCGAUCGUAGUCCGGAUCGCAGUCUGCAACUCGACUGCGUGAAGUCGGAAUCGCUAGUAAUCGUGAAUCAGAAUGUCACGGUGAAUACGUUCCCGGGCCUUGUACACACCGCCCGUCACACCAUGGGAGUGGGUUGCUCCAGAAGUAGCUAGUCUAACCUUCGGGGGGACGGUUACCACGGAGUGAUUCAUGACUGGGGUGAAGUCGUAACAAGGUA